AAAACAUCGCCUCUUGCAAAACUGAAAAAUAAGAGGUCCCGCCUGCCCUGUGACUAUAUGUUUAACGGCCGCGGUAUUUUGACCGUGCGAAGGUAGCGCAAUCACUUGUCUUUUAAAUGGAGACCUGUAUGAAUGGCAUAACGAGGGCUUAGCUGUCUCCUUUUUCAAGUCAAUGAAAUUGAUCUCCCCGUGCAGAAGCGGGGAUAACACCAUAAGACGAGAAGACCCUAUGGAGCUUUAGACACCAAGGCAGAUCAUGUUAAACACCCCUUCACAAAGGACCAAACCAGAUGAACCCUGCCCUAAUGUCUUUGGUUGGGGCGACCGCGGGGAAACAGAAAACCCCCACGUGGAAUGGGAAUACCCCUCCUACAACUAAGAGCUCCCGCUCUAAUGACCAGAAUUUCUGACCAAUCAGAUCCGGCAACGCCGAUCAACGGACCGAGUUACCCUAGGGAUAACAGCGCAAUCCCCUUUUAGAGCCCAUAUCGACAAGGGGGUUUACGACCUCGAUGUUGGAUCAGGACAUCCUAAUGGUGCAGCCGCUAUUAAGGGUUCGUUUGUUCAACGAUUAAAGUCCUACGUGAUCUG
rnacentral:rRNA from 1 species